AACACAAAACGAAAGAAGGAAAGAGCGGAAGGGAAAGUUUCCGGAACUCCGGCCUAACCAUCGUCCCCAAACUAUCCCGGCUCUCACCCCAAGAAAAAAACUAAACGGCCGGUUAGACGCCGUCGCCGUAAGAAGAACAAACCCAAACAAAGAAAAAGCAGAGCAAAACAUCCGGGUAUAUGCCAUCUCCGUGAGCACUCCACAACCUCCAACCCCAAAUCCAAAC
rnacentral:lncRNA from 1 species